rnacentral:rRNA from 1 species
AGUGAACGCUGGCGGUAGGCCUAACACAUGCAAGUCGAACGGCAGCACAGGAGAGCUUGCUCUCUGGGUGGCGAGUGGCGGACGGGUGAGGAAUACAUCGGAAUCUACUUUUUCGUGGGGGAUAACGUAGGGAAACUUACGCUAAUACCGCAUACGACCUACGGGUGAAAGCAGGGGACCUUCGGGCCUUGCGCGAUUGAAUGAGCCGAUGUCGGAUUAGCUAGUUGGCGGGGUAAAGGCCCACCAAGGCGACGAUCCGUAGCUGGUCUGAGAGGAUGCGCAGCCACGCUGGAACUGAGACACGGUCCAGACUCCUACGGGAGGCAGCGGUGGGGAAUAUUGGACAAUGGGCGCAAGCCUGAUCCAGCCAUACCGCGUGGGUGAAGAAGGCCUUCGGGUUGUAAAGCCCUUUUGUUGGGAAAGAAAUCCAGCUGGCUAAUACCCGGUUGGGAUGACGGUACCCAAAGAAUAAGCACCGGCUAACUUCGUGCCAGCCGCCGCCGUAA